GACGAACGCUGGCGGCGUGCUUAACACAUGCAAGUGGUGCGACGAACCAGGGCUUGCCCUGGGGCCAAGCCGCGAACGGGUGAGUAACACGUGGGUAAUCUGCCCCGAUGACCGGGACAACCCGAGGAAACUCGGGCUAAUACCAGAUGUGGUGUUCACACUUAAGUGUGUACAUCAAAGGACGCUUCGGCCUCCGCCUCGGGCGGAGCCCGCGGCCCAGUAGCUAGUUGGUGAGGUAAUGGCCCACCAAGGCGACGAUGGGUAGCUGGUCUGGGAGGACGAUCAGCCACACUGGGACUGAGACACGGCCCAGACUCCUACGGGAGGCAGCAGUGGGGAAUCUUGCGCAAUGCGCGAAAGCGUGACGCAGCAACGCCGCGUGAGGGAAGACGGCCUUCGGGUUGUAAACCUCUUUCAGGAGGGACGAAGGCUCGCCGGUGAAUAGCCGAGCGGGUUGACGGUACCUCCAGAAGAAGCCCCGGCUAACUACGUGCCAGCAGCCGCCGUAAUAC
rnacentral:rRNA from 1 species